AUGAGUCAUUACAAGGAGAGAGGUUAUAUAACUAUUACAGGCUUAAUGUUGACUGCUUCUUUUCAAAUAAGCAAAUCUAUACAAAAACAGAAGUUACACAAAGCUACAUGAUGGGCAAAACCACAAAACAGGAACAAACUUCCCCAGUUGUAGAUAACCUUGACGAUAUGCAUAUCAACUUUGAAUCAGAGAUAUAGCUUGAUUAACAAUGACAAUAUUACAAGUAACUCGAUCAGAAGAUUUCCCUCUCAUUCUAGUGUGUCCUUUUUCAUAUGUGACACUUUGUAGUUGUUCCCUCCUUUGUCCUUCAUCACUUCAACCAUUCAAGACUAUAGAGUUAAAAACACAUGAUUUAAUCGAUUAACUUUCAUCUCAUUAAAAAACUCUCAACCGCAUUUAUUAACUCAUCAAUAGUUGAAGGAGCCAUUUGAUGCUGAAGUGAUUGAAUAACUCUAAAAAUCCAAUAUCCAAAAUAUUUAGAUCCGGACUGUUAGGAAGUUGAAAGCAUAGCCUAAUAUCGAAUUCACCUUGUCGAGCAGCCUCAUUUAAUUGCACGUCAUUAACACCUAGGUGAGGUUUUGCAUUAUCUUGUUGGAUAAAAAUAUGGCCAUUUGACCGUGAAAGUGGCCACUUUGAUCGAAUGGCAGGAAGAACCUUUUCAAUUAAACAAGUUCUAGUCACAUGUCACAUCUUUAUUGACAAAUAAAAUAGGUUUGUUUCCGAAGUUCCAACAACUCGAUUUUUGCUAUAUCUUCUUGCUGCUUCCUCGACAACAAAAGGGACAAUUCCUAGUUUUCCUGAAAAAUUUUCAACUCCAUCUUCAUCAUACCUAGGGUGUGCAACUGCAGCCAUAAACAUAACUUUCUUUAUGAAAUUCUUACUUUUACAUGCUCUAUAUGGGUUCGGCUCUUGUUCUUCGAGGAGAAGAUAGUAUCGUUCAAAUUUUUUGGAUAGAAAUAAUCAUUUCUCGUCAAUAUGAACAAAAUUAAACAUGUCUAAAAAUAAAGGAUUUGAAUGGAGUGUACCGGACUCGAUCAUUGACAAGCAAAAUUGAAGCCUUGCCUUUUUAUUUUCCUCCGUCAAAUAAGGUUUUAUGGCAUCGGCGUGUGACCUGAUGACUUCUUCUUUGAUACGAUGAAAGACCAUUGUUGUUUGCAUAUCCAACACACAAGUCAAAGAUCGAAAAUUUGUUCGGCGACAAAGAGGAGCCUCCUUGACUAGAUUAAGGUCAAAGUGAACUCGCUUUCUUCCAACACUUCCUGCAAUUUUAAUAGACACAUUUACUGUAGUGCCGUUAGCAAAACACAAUUUUGUUUGAUUCCAAAUUCGUCGCGCAGUACUCUUUGAAGCGUGCAACAAAAUAGUUGCUUGCUUUAUAGAGCCAUAAGUAGCACCUUCAUUUUUGCUUUGCUUUAGAAGCCAUUCCGCAAUUGCUUGGCGUU
rnacentral:lncRNA from 1 species